UACGUAGGGUCCAAGCGUUAUCCGGAAUCACUGGGCGUAAAGAGUGCGUAGGCGGGAGUCUAAGUGAGAUAUGAAAGCGUGUGGCUCAACCAUACAACUGUAUCUCAUACUGGACACCUAGAGGACGGCAGAGGCAAGUGGAAUUACUGGUGUAGCAGUGAAAUGCGCAGAUAUCGGGAGGAACACCAAUGGCGAAGGCAGCUCGCUGGGACGGUACUGACGCUGAGACGCGAAAGCGUGGGGAGCAAACAGG
rnacentral:rRNA from 1 species